GAUGAACGCUGGCGGCGUGCUUAACACAUGCAAGUCGAACGAACCUUCGGGUUAGUGGCGGACGGGUGAGUAACGCGUGAGAAUCUGCCCUCAGGAGGGGGAUAACGGUUGGAAACGACCGCUAAUACCCCAUAUGCCGAUAGGUGAAAUGAAUUUCGCCUGAGGAUGAGCUCGCGUCUGAUUAGCUUGUUGGUGAGGUAAUGGCUCACCAAGGCUUCGAUCAGUAGCUGGUCUGAGAGGAUGAUCAGCCACACUGGGACUGAGACACGGCCCAGACUCCUACGGGAGGCAGCAGUGGGGAAUUUUCCGCAAUGGGCGAAAGCCUGACGGAGCAACGCCGCGUGAGGGACGGAGGCCUCUGGGCUGUAAACCUCUUUUCUCAAGGAAGAAGAUAUGACGGUACUUGAGGAAUAAGCCACGGCUAAUUCCGUGCCAGCAGCCGCGGUAAUACGGGAGUGGCAAGAGUUAUCCGGAAUUAUUGGGCGUAAAGCGUCCGCAGGCGGCCUUUCAAGUCUGCUGUUAAAGCGUGGAGCUUAACUCCAUUAUGGCAGUGGAAACUGAUCGGCUUGAGUAUGGUAGGGGCAGAGGGAAUUCCCGGUGUAGCGGUGAAAUGCGUAGAUAUCGGGAAGAACACCAGUGGCGAAGGCGCUCUGCUGGGCCAUUACUGACGCUCAUGGACGAAAGCCAGGGGAGCGAAAGGGAUUAGAUACCCCUGUAGUCCUGGCCGUAAACGAUGAACACUAGGUGUCGGGGGAAUCGACCCCUUCGGUGUCGUAGCUAACGCGUUAAGUGUUCCGCCUGGGGAGUACGCACGCAAGUGUGAAACUCAAAGGAAUUGACGGGGGCCCGCACAAGCGGUGGAGUAUGUGGUUUAAUUCGAUGCAACGCGAAGAACCUUACCAGGGUUUGACAUCCUGAGAACCUCUUAGAAAUUUGAGGGUGCCUUCGGGAAUUCAGUGACAGGUGGUGCAUGGCUGUCGUCAGCUCGUGUCGUGAGAUGUUGGGUUAAGUCCCGCAACGAGCGCAACCCACGUUUUUAGUUGCCAGCAUCUAGUUGGGCACUCUAGAAAGACCGCCGGUGAUAAACCGGAGGAAGGUGUGGAUGAUGUCAAGUCAUCAUGCCCCUUACACCCUGGGCUACACACGUACUACAAUGCUACGGACAAAGGGCAGCAAACUCGCGAGAGCUAGCAAAUCCCAUAAACCGUGGCUCAGUUCAGAUCGUAGGCUGCAACUCGCAUACGUGAAGUAGGAAUCGCUAGUAAUCGCAGGUCAGCAUACUGCGGUGAAUACGUUCCCGGGCCUUGUACUCACCGCCCGUC
rnacentral:rRNA from 1 species